CAGUAUUCCCCAGUAGUGCAACAUUGGGAGAAAAAAUUUCCGUCGUGCGGAUAUGGAAGUGAAGAUUGGAGAAUGUUACGCGAUCAGCGCGAGUAUUGAGCAUCAGGAGAAAAGGGGACGCAAAGUGUCUUCUGGAGAGCGGGGUUCAAAUGGAGAACGGGGUUCAUUGUUUGGCAGUAAAAUCAAAGAAGUUUUGGGGGUCCAAGAAAAGAA
rnacentral:lncRNA from 1 species